AGUGGCGGACGGGUGAGUAACGCGUGAGAAUCUGCCUUGGGGUCGGGGACAACCACUGGAAACGGUGGCUAAUACCGGAUAAGCCGAUUGGUGAAAGAUUUAUUGCCCGAAGAGGAGCUCGCGUCUGAUUAGCUAGUUGGUGAGGUAAGAGCUCACCAAGGCAGCGAUCAGUAGCUGGUCUGAGAGGACGAUCAGCCACACUGGGACUGAGACACGGCCCAGACUCCUACGGGAGGCAGCAGUGGGGAAUUUUCCGCAAUGGGCGAAAGCCUGACGGAGCAAGACCGCGUGAGGGAGGAAGGCUCUUGGGUUGUAAACCUCUUUUCUCAGGGAAGAAGCUCUGACGGUACCUGAGGAAUCAGCCUCGGCUAACUCCGUGCCAGCAGCCGCGGUAAUACGGAGGAGGCAAGCGUUAUCCGGAAUUAUUGGGCGUAAAGCGUCCGCAGGUGGCGAUUCAAGUCUGCUGUCAAAGCACGGGGCUUAACUCCGUAAAGGCAGUGGAAACUGAAUAGCUAGAGUGCCGUAGGGGUAGAGGGAAUUCCCGGUGUAGCGGUGAAGUGCGUAGAGAUCGGGAAGAACAUCGGUGGCGAAAGCGCUCUACUGGACGGCAACUGACACUCAGGGACGAAAGCUAGGGGAGCGAAUGGGAUUAGAUACCCC
rnacentral:rRNA from 1 species